rnacentral:lncRNA from 1 species
CCAGGCACUUGGCUGCCUGACUUGAAUCUGGAGUGGUGUCCCAAAGAAACAAACAGGUAACAGUGGAGAAAUCACGGUGCCAGUGCGGGGCCUGUGGCCCUCCACGUCCUACACUGGCAUCUAGAGGAGGUUCCUGGCUUGGCCGUGGGUCUAGCUGCCCAGUUUCCUAUAAUUCUUACGAGUUUCCCAACCUUAAUUUCCCAGACUCUUUUCUUUUUUCUUUUUGAGACGGAGUCUCACUCUGUUGUGCAGGCCGCAGUGCAGUGGCGCGAUCUCGGCCCACUGCAACGUCCGUGUCCCUGGGCAAGCAAUUCUCCUGCCUCAGCCUCCUGAGUAGCUGGGAUUACAGGCGCCCGCCACUACGCCCGGCUAAUUUUUUGUAUUUUUAUUAGAGACAGGGUUUCACCAUGUUGGCCAGGCUGGUCUUGAACUCCUGACCUCAAGCGAUUGGCCUGCCUCGGCCUCCCAAAGUGCUGGGAUUACAGGCGUGAGUGACUGUGCCCUAGACUUUUUUUCCGUUGAUUUUGUGAGCUACCUCUGGUGGCGGGCACCUAUAGUGUCAGCUGCUGGGGAGGCUGAGGUAGGAGAAUCUCUUGAACUGGGGAGGCGGAGGUCACAGUGAGCCGAGAUUACACCACUGCAGUCCAGCCUGGGUGACAGAGCAAGACUCCAUCCCAGCAAUUUUGGGAGGCUGAGGCGGGUGGAUCACCUGAGGUCAGGAGUUCAAGACCAGCCUGACCAACAUGGUGAAACCCCAUAUCUACUAAAAAUACAAAAAGUAGCCGGGCAUGGUGGUGGGCACCUGUAGCCCCAGCUACUCAGGAGGCUGAGGCAGGAGAAUCGCUUGAACCCGGGAGGCGGAGCUUGCAGUGAGCUGAGAUCGUGCCAUUGCACUCCAGCCUGGGCGACAGAGUGAGACCCUGUCCACCCCUCCACAGCCCCCAGCAAGGGUCCCCAUGAUCUUCCCUCCACAGCACCCAGCAAGGGUCCCCAUGAUCUUCCCUCCACAGCCCCCAGCAAGGGUCCCCAUGAUCUUCCCUCCACAGCCCCCAGCAAGGGUCCCCAUGAUCUUCCCUCCACAGCCCCCAGCAAGGGUCCCCAUGAUCUUCCCUCCACAGCCCCCAGCAAGGGUCCCCAUGAUCUUCCCUCCACAGCCCCCAGCAAGGGUCCCCAUGAUCUUCCCUCCACAGCCCCCAGCAAGGGUCCCCAUGAUCUUCCCUCCACAGUCCCCAGCAAGGGUCCCCAUGAUCUUCCCUCCACAGUCCCCAGCAAGGGUCCCCAUGAACACAAUUAAAACCACUGCACUAGGGGCCGGGCGCGGGGGCUCACGCCUGUAAUCCCAGCACUUUGGGAGGCCGAGGCAGGUAGAUCACGAAGUCAGGAGAUCGAGACCAUCCUGGCUAAUACGGUAAAACCCCGUCUCUACUAAAAAUACAAAAAUUAGCCAGGCGUGGUGGCGGGCACCUGUAGUCCCAGCCACUUGGGAGGCUGAGGCAGGAGAAUCGCUUAAAUCCAGGAGGCGGAGCUUGCAGCGAGCGGAGAUCACGCCACUGUACUCCAGUGUGGGCGACAAUGCAAAAUACAGUCUCAAACACACACACAAAAAAAGAUGGGAAUUCUACCAAACCUUUCAAGAGAAGAUAAUACCAGGGCUAUUUAAAUUGUUCCAAACUAUAGGAAAAGAAGAAAAACUUCCAAAAUCUUUUAAAAGGAUGAGCACAAGACUGGUACCAAACCCAGGAAAGAUUCCCCUAAAAAUAUAAAUGUAGAAAUAUCUCAGGCAUUAACAUUAAUGCAAAAAGUACACAUUCAAUAUUAGUAAACGGAAUAUAGCAUAUUUAUUUAUUUAUUAUUUUAUUUUAUUAUUUUUUUGAGACUGAGUCUCGCUCUGUUGUCCAGGCUGGAGUGCCGUGGCACGAUCUCGGCUCACUGCAACCUCCACCUCCUGGGUUCAAGUGAUUCUUCUGCCUCAGCCUCCCAUGUAGCUGGGAUUACAGGCGCCCGCCACCAUACCCUGUUAAUGUUUGUAUUUUUAGUAGAGAUGGGGUUUCACCAUGUUGGCCAGGCUGGUCUUGAACUCCUGACUUCAGGUGAUCUGCCCACCUCAGCCUCUCAAAGUGCUGGGAUUACAGGUGUGAGUCACCAUGCCCGGUCUAAUUUUUUUUUGAGAUGGAGUCUCGCUCUCGCUGUGUCGCCCAGGCUGGAGUGCAGUGGCGAGAUCUUGGCUCACCGCAACCUCUGCCUCCUAGGUUCAAGUGAUUCUCCUGCCUCAGCCUCCUGAGUAGUUGAGACUACAAGUCUGUGCCACCACACUUGGCUAAUUUUUGUAUUAUUAGUAGAGACGGGGUUUUACCAUAUUGGCCAGGCUGGUCUUGAACUCCUGAUCUUGUGAUCUGCCCGCCUUGGCCUCCCAAAGCCGGGAUUACAGGUGUGAGCCACCAUGCCCGGCUAGCCUAAUUUUUUUUUUUUUUAGAUGAGGUCUCACUCUGUCACCCAGGUUGGAGGACAGCAAGGUGAUCUUGGCUCACUGCAACCUUUGCCUCCUAGGCUCAAGCGAUCCUCUCACCUCAGCCUCCCAAGUAGCUGGGACUAGGGGAGUGUGCCGCCAC